GUGGACUUUUGUUUGACUUUAGAACAUAGAAAAAUAUCCUUGCAUCUUCUUUUCUCAAAACUGGUUUUAUUUAUUAUGGAGAAGAAAAAAAAUAGAAGAAAGAAAAAAUGGUGGAGUGAAACAAACUGAAAUUCGGAAUGAUGUUGGGUUUUGUUUGAUGGAAAUGUAUAGUCAUGAUGGAAGCUUAAGGAUUGUUGUUUUGAUGGCUGAAUUGAGUUUUUUGUAGAAGCAUUGUUGGAGUGAUUUCUAAAACGAAAUUGGUGGGUUCUUGUUGGUGAUUCAAGUUUGCUUCUUUGGUGAGAUUGAAGUUAUCAUCGAAGUUAUCAUCUUACUUUCUUUUGGAUUAGGAAAGGAGUUAACUCUAACCAAAGGUGAGUGAUUUUCUUUUUGUGGUUUAAUUACUCCUAUUUUGAGUAUUGAACCUGGUAGAUUAAGUAGGAAUUGUUGUUCAUGGGUCCAUGACAUCAACCCAUGUUCUUAUUUUGGUAAAUAGUCAGUACAUUCUUGAUUCCUGGAACCUCUGCGCUGCUGCGGCAUUUUGACCAUAGAAACUAAACUAUUGAAUAUUUUUAUAUUAUUUCAAUUGGAGAUGAAAGUAGGUUCUUUUAUCUAGAACAUUGCCGUUUACACUUCUCUCUGUUUCUGCUGUUAAAUGGGUAGAAAUUAUGACGCAAGUCUGACAAGCAGGUUCAGGAUGUCCCUGAACACCCCUUACGAUAAUGUUCAUAACAGACUCAAUACCGAACCGUUUUGGUUGAUUUCAAAAACCCAGUAAACCAGACUCAUGUAGCUUUAUAUUUUCAGUUUUAGUCGAGGGCUAAAUCUAUUGUUUAGUCUGUCAUAUAUGUGGUGCAAUAUCUGACAGGUUUUUGCAGUGUUGCUGGAAUACAUUGUGAUUUGUGUAGAGAACGUUAUUGAAUUCAGUUGUGGACCUGUCUGAUAUAUAAUAUGUGGUUGAUGUACUGCUUCUUUUCAGAAUUAUCUGUAUUCUAUAUGCUCAAUAAUGAUGAUGUGAUAUAGUAGUGAAUCGGUUAUGUAUUGGUUAUCUUUAAAUCCGAUUUAUAAUCUGGAUCAUGAAUUGUUAAGCUUAUUUUGUGUGUGUUUGCUUUGUUGCGCGAGUCAGUAGCUUGACUCGGAUAUCCUAGCACACCACAACUUCGAAAAUAUUAAGUGGCCUAUAGUACCAUGAGUGUACUGAAUUUCGAAAUGAGAAAAAGAAAAAGUGUUUUGAAAACCCUUGGUGUGUGUGUCCCAAGGUGAAUUAUUAGCCCGUUACCCCUUAUGCUCGGGGUGAGUACCUUCUCGUUCUUAUGAGUAGACGAGUGGUAAAUGUUUAUAGCGCGCUCCGGAUAAGCUUAUCCUUUUCGAGAGGGCGGAAUCUUAGUUGAUAUCCCGAUGAUGGAUUCCGGUUAUCGAAAGUGGUUGCGAGUUAUCUGACGAGGCACAGGGAUAUCUGUGUUAGCCAUAGAUAGUGUGUAGUAUAUGGCUAUUGUGGAGUGUGGCUAGGGUAUUAACUUUGGCUUGAUUGUGAUGACUUGCUUAGCUUUAUUAGAAGUUGUUUUCUUUGCGACUUGCUUAGAUUUCUAGCAUAUAUUAUAUGUAUAAUGGUUUUUAUAAUUAUCACGUACAAGAUAUUGCAGGAUGGUAGGCCCACUAACGUGUAUGCAGGGCUGGCCUACCAUAAGCUAAAUGGAAACCAAGGUAUGCGAAGUUAAAUAAUUAUACCCUAGUUGUAGUUGUUUAUGGCUUGUCUUGUUGUGCGAGAAUCACUUAUACCAGCGUAAGCUGACCCAAGUUUGUAUUUUGUGCAUUCUUGGGUACUUAUCCUUAUGGAGCGUAGGCGGGGAGCAGGAGCGGGAUCAUUAUCAAGAGUAGCGAUUCUAGCAUCUUUGGAGUUCGCGAGAAGAUCUUCAAUUGGACAUUCAGUGUAUAGUUGUGAGGUAGUAGUUGGAUAUCUAGCAUAUAUCUAUGUUAAUCUUGGUUUGUAUUGUAUUUGGAGUUCAUACUAGAUGUAUUAUAAUAAGGUGUUGAGGUAUCCACCGUGACUUUAUGGAUGUAAUUUGGACUGGUUGUUGAUGUAUAUAAGUUUAAUGAUUCUAGUAUCAUUUGUGACUUGUAGCUUUGAAAAUUUUAUUCUAGUCUGGAUUCUUUUGAAUCGUUCCUCUUCGCGUCCUAAAUCUUGUUGAUGUAUAUAAGUUUAAU
rnacentral:lncRNA from 1 species